rnacentral:rRNA from 1 species
CUGCAACUCGCCUGCAUGAAGUCGGAAUUGCUAGUAAUCGUGGAUCAGCAUGCCACGGUGAAUACGUUCCCGGGCCUUGUACACACCGCCCGUCACACCAUGGGAGUCGGUAACACCCGAAGCCUGUAGUCUAACCGCAAGGAGGACGCAGUCGAAGGUGGGAUUGAUGACUGGGGUGAAGUCGUAACAAGGUACC